GGAUGGGUGAGUAACACGUGGGCAACCUGCCUGUAAGAUCGGAAUAACCCCGGGAAACCGGGGCUAAUGCCGGGUAAUACUUUCUUUCGCAUGAAGGAAAGUUGAAAGAUGGCUUCUUGCUAUCACUUACAGAUGGGCCCGCGGCGCAUUAGCUAGUUGGUGAGGUAACGGCUCACCAAGGCGACGAUGCGUAGCCGACCUGAGAGGGUGAUCGGCCACACUGGGACUGAGACACGGCCCAGACUCCUACGGGAGGCAGCAGUAGGGAAUCUUCCGCAAUGGACGAAAGUCUGACGGAGCAACGCCGCGUGAACGAUGAAGGUCUUCGGAUCGUAAAGUUCUGUUGUUAGGGAAGAACAAGUACCGUGCGAAUAGAGCGGUACCUUGACGGUACCUAACGAGGAAGCCCCGGCUAACUACGUGCCAGCAGCCGCGGUAAUACGUAGGGGGCAAGCGUUGUCCGGAAUUAUUGGGCGUAAAGCGCGCGCAGGCGGUUCCUUAAGUCUGAUGUGAAAGCCCACGGCUCAACCGUGGAGGGUCAUUGGAAACUGGGGAACUUGAGGACAGAAGAGGAGAGUGGAAUUCCACGUGUAGCGGUGAAAUGCGUAGAUAUGUGGAGGAACACCAGUGGCGAAAGCGACUCUCUGGUCUGUUUCUGACGCUGAGGUGCGAAAGCGUGGGUAGCAAACAGGAUUAGAUA
rnacentral:rRNA from 1 species